UAAAAUUCUGAAUGGAUUGUACACUCUACUGAACACAAAGAACACCUCGUACGGAUCGCUGGCAGAAGUGACAUGUCAUACUGGAUAUGAGUCAAAUGUUAGCCAGAUAAUGUGCCAAGCAAAUGCUACGUGGCAAGCAGCAAUUUGCAACCUAAAAGACUGUGGUUCCAUUCCCACAAUUCUACAUGGAGUUUACACUCUUUCGUACACAACAAGCACCACGUACGGAUCGCAAGCAAAUGUGACAUGUAAUGCUGGAUAUGAAUCGAACGUUAGCCAGAUUAUGUGUCAGGCAAAUGCGAUUUGGGAGACAGCAUACUGCGCUUUAAGAGUUUCAGGUUACGAGCAUAUCGGCUGUUUCUCAGCAUACCGGAUUGAAAGCCUUUCUGACGCAAAAUCAUUCGACGCGUGUUUAAAUAACUGCAGAAAUUUCAGCUAUGCCUUGAUCAUAGUAACUUGUAGCUUUAACAUUUUUCAACAUGACGCUUCUUUUUAUAUCAUAAAUUAUUAAAAGGAUUUUAAGAAAGUAUUGGAUUCAUCUACAUUACU